GUCUCCGUGGCGCAAUCGGUUAGCGCGUUUGGCUGUUAACCAAACAGUUGGUGGUUAAAGCCCACCUGGGGACG